CCUACGUGCGGCAGCAGUGGGGAAUAUUGGACAAUGGGCGGAACCCUGAUCCAGCGACGCCGCGUGAGUGAAGAAGUAUUUCGGAAUGUAAAGCUCUAUCAGCAGGGAAGAAAGAAAUGACGGUACAUGACUAAGAAGCCCCGGCUAACUACGUGCCAGCAGCCGCGGUAAUACGUAGGGGGCAAGCGUUAUCCGGAUUUACUGGGUGUAAAGGGCGCGUAGACGGCGAGGCAAGUCUGAAGUGAAAGGCGGGGGCCCAACCCCCGGACUGCUUUGGGAACUGUGUGGCUGGAGUGCAGGAGAGGUAAGUGGAAUUCCUAGUGUAGCGGUGAAAUGCGUAGAUAUUAGGAGGAACACCAGUGGCGAAGGCAGAUUACUGGACUGUAACUGACGUUGAGGCUCGAAAGCGGGGGGAGCAAACAGGAUUAGAUACCCGGGUAGUC
rnacentral:rRNA from 1 species